rnacentral:rRNA from 1 species
UACGGAGGGUGCAAGCGUUAUCCGGAUUCACUGGGUUUAAAGGGUGCGUAGGCGGGCUUGUAAGUCCGUGGUGAAAUCCCUGAGCUUAACUUGGGAACUGCCAUUGAUACUAUUAGUCUUGAAUAUCGUGGAGGUAAGCGGAAUAUGUCAUGUAGCGGUGAAAUGCGUAGAUAUCUGGAGGAAUACCGGUGGCGAAGGCGGCGUGCUGGACCUCAUCUGACGCUGAGGCGCGAAAGCCAGGGGAGCGAACGGG